rnacentral:lncRNA from 1 species
UCCUCAAGAUCACCGAAUCCUACACCUUUUUGACUCUCCAGCUUUUUCUUCCGCUCACUGCUUUUGAAUCUUGUCUGAUUCCGAUUUUCCAUCACUUUCCAACUCACGCUCAAAUCUCUCUUUUUGCAUCACCGAAAGCCAUCCCGCGCUUGAAGCUCACGAUCGGUUUAACUUUUUCAAAGGGUCCCCAUCUCUCACAUUUAUCUCUUUU